rnacentral:rRNA from 2 species
AGACCCGAAACCCGGUGAUCUAGCCAUGGGCAGGUUGAAGGUUGGGUAACACUAACUGGAGGACCGAACCGACUAAUGUUGAAAAAUUAGCGGAUGACCUGUGGCUGGGGGUGAAAGGCCAAUCAAACCGGGAGAUAGCUGGUUCUCCCCGAAAGCUAUUUAGGUAGCGCCUCGUGAAUUCAUCUCCGGGGGUAGAGCACUGUUUCGGCUAGGGGGCCAUCCCGGCUUACCAACCCGAUGCAAACUGCGAAUACCGGAGAAUGUUAUCACGGGAGACACACGGCGGGUGCUAACGUCCGUCGUGAAGAGGGAAACAACCCAGACCGCCAGCUAAGGUCCCAAAGUCAUGGUUAAGUGGGAAACGAUGUGGGAAGGCCCAGACAGCCAGGAUGUUGGCUUAGAAGCAGCCAUCAUUUAAAGAAAGCGUAAUAGCUCACUGGUCGAGUCGGCCUGCGCGGAAGAUGUAACGGGGCUAAACCAUGCACCGAAGCUGCGGCAGCGAACGUAUCACCCAAGACAACUUUACGGAGUUGACGAUUGACGGAGCGAAGCGACGUCAAAGCGUUCAUUAAAGUCGAGUUGGCUUAGGGAUACGUUCGUUGGGUAGGGGAGCGUUCUGUAAGCCUGUGAAGGUGUGUCGUGAGGCAUGCUGGAGGUAUCAGAAGUGCGAAUGCUGACAUAAGUAACGAUAAAGCGGGUGAAAAGCCCGCUCGCCGGAAGACCAAGGGUUCCUGUCCAACGUUAAUCGGGGCAGGGUGAGUCGACCCCUAAGGCGAGGCCGAAAGGCGUAGUCGAUGGGAAACGGGUUAAUAUUCCCGUACUUGGUGUUACUGCGAAGGGGGGACGGAGAAGGCUAUGUUGGCCGGGCGACGGUUGUCCCGGUUUAAGCGUGUAGGUGUGUGUUCCAGGUAAAUCCGGUUCACUUUAACACUGAGGCGUGACGACGAGGCACUACGGUGCUGAAGCAACAAAUGCCCUGCUUCCAGGAAAAGCCUCUAAGCAUCAGGUAACAUCAAAUCGUACCCCAA